rnacentral:rRNA from 1 species
GACGAACGCUGGCGGCGUGCUUAACACAUGCAAGUCGAACGGAAAGGCCCUGCUUUUGUGGGGUGCUCGAGUGGCGAACGGGUGAGUAACACGUGAGUAACCUGCCCUUGACUUUGGGAUAACUUCAGGAAACUGGGGCUAAUACCGGAUAGGAGCUCCUGCUGCAUGGUGGGGGUUGGAAAGUUUCGGCGGUUGGGGAUGGACUCGCGGCUUAUCAGCUUGUUGGUGGGGUAGUGGCUUACCAAGGCUUUGACGGGUAGCCGGCCUGAGAGGGUGACCGGCCACAUCGGGUCUGAGAUACGGACCAGACUCCUACGGGAGGCAGCAGUGGGGAAUAUUGCACAAUGGGCGGAAGCCUGAUGCAGCAACGCCGCGUGCGGGAUGACGGCCUUCGGGUUGUAAACCGCUUUCGCCUGUGACGAAGCGUGAGUGACGGUAAUGGGUAAAGAAGCACCGGCUAACUACGUG